rnacentral:rRNA from 1 species
AUUGAACGCUGGCGGCAGGCCUAACACAUGCAAGUCGAGCGAGUGGAGGACGGGUGAGUAAUGUCUGGGAAACUGCCUGAUGGAGGGGGAUAACUACUGGAAAAGGUAGCUAAUACCGCAUACCAUCAGAUGUGCCCAGAGGGGAUUAGCUAGUGGGUGGGGUAAUGGCUCACCUAGGCGACGAUCCCUAGCCGGUAUGAGAGGAUGACCAGCCACACUGGAACUGAGACGCGAUCCAGCAUCCGAGGGGAGGCAGCAGUGGGGAAUAUUGCACAAUGGGCGCAAUCCGGAUGAAGCCAUGCCGCGUGUGUGAAGAAGGCCUUCGGGUUGUAAAGCACUUUCAGCGGAGAGGCGUUACCCGCAGAAGAAGCACCGGCUAACUCCGUGCCAGCAGCCGCGGUAAUUC